GUACUAGCUUUAGCAGCACAUAUACUAAAAUCAGUAUGAUAUAGAGAAGAUUAGCAUAGCCCCUGCACAAGGAUGAUAUGCUAAUUCAUGAAGUGUUUCAUAUUUCA